rnacentral:lncRNA from 10 species
CCGGCGCUGCCCACCCACCACACCGCUAGCGCCUCUGAACCUCGCCAGGCACGUCCGGUUCUGCGGCCCCCACUCCGCCCCCGCCUGCCGGGAGCCGCGCGGUUACAAAGUGCCGGGAGCCGUGCAGGGCCAGUGAACCCCUCGCUGAGACUCAGUUUGCUGCCAUCACAAGUGCUCUGAGAAUCCUGGAGAGGGAGGAUAUUGGAGACAAACGGGACUGCUGCCCGCCUUUUAGGCGACCGUUGGAGGCUGCUCUGUGCCGGACACAGGCAGGGAAAAUGUCAGCCCCGCGAGGGAAAUGGCAUGUGCACCCAGCAUCCCCCUAGGGUCUAAACCAGCUCCCACAGCUCAGAAGUCAGCGGAGCAGAGUCCCCAGGAAACCAGGGUCAGGGAUGGAGGCUGCUGAGGAGCGGGUCUGGGAGGUGGAGGCCAGAUACAAGAAAACCACAGUACCAGUAAAUGACAAAGGCUGGAUCUUAACCCAAGUCCUCCGACUCUGAAGGCCAUACCCAACAGGUCCCAUUUUAUUUGUUUUACUUUUUUUUAAUUGAAGAAAAAAAAACUAGCAUUCCCCUACAGUGCCC